UGGGUGACUAAUCCGGGCGGAACUGUAGUGUGGGAAAUAUUUCCGCCCGGACCAAUUUAAGUGAAACAUAAGUUCUGUUCCGGUUGGCCCAAGGUGGGGAAAUUAUCCAAAAUACAUGUCAGGUGUGGGAAGAGGACGUGUUGGAUACCGAUUGGAGGAUCGGGAAGGAUGCAGUGAUAUAAAAGGGGCUGGUUUAUGAACAGGAGCAGGUUUUUUUGUUCUGCUGUUGUUCCACGGGAUACGGAAGUGGCUGGUGUGGCGUGGAUGUUGCGAUUUACGGGCUGCAAUGGAGAAUCCAAGGAAAAUGGAUAUUGGAAGUGCGGAGGAAGUUAAGUGAUCGACCUUUUGUAUGUUGUGUUUACCUCUUAUUGUGGAUUGAGUUGAAGGAGCGAUCCUACGUUUGGAAGGCCCCUGAGUGAAGGAGAUCAUUGAAUUCGUGUUGGGAGAGGACAACACUGUGCACUAGUGGGUGAAGACUUUACGAACAUUUCUUGUAUAUUGUGGAGAGUGAAUGACGGAUGUGGAGGGAGACUAACCGCCUUUAAGAAAGGAUUCCGACUGCAUAUCUCUCCGUAGCAGUGGAAAAUCCCCCUCCCUCUUGUGUUGAUCUGAUAAUCCUCAGUGCUUGUGUGUUUACUCAGUGUUGAUAGUAGUGCCUUGCGUUGGAGAUCGCUGGGAAAGACGGAGAGACUCCGGUGUACGAUAUAUCUGCCUGCUGUGGUCUGCCCUCCUGCCUUUGUCCAUCUGACCCGCCCUGUCAGGACUCUGAGCCCGAAACGGGAAUACACCACCGAUCUUCUUUCACUGAGUGUGUGGAGUGUGGUGAGUGCUGCUAUAUUGAAGUGUACACACGAGAAGAAUUGUAGUGCCUUUGUGGUGUGUGGUGUUUGUCCGUGGUUGUGUCCCUGGUCGUAGGAAGAGGCCUGACGGAGAGGAGUAGUGUAUUGGUGGCAACCACAGUCUUUACCUUAAGUAAGCUGGAGCUCGGACGUGUUGGAGGCGCCUCUGGAGGAGGUUGGAUGUCGUUGCCCACGCAGCAAUCCCUGGAAGCGAAGGACAACAGCCGAUCCUCCCCCGUGUGCCCCCUUGUCAAGCUGGGCGGGAAGCCCAGUAUUGUUUGCAGUUUCAUCUGUAAGGCCCACCAGCCGUCAGUCAUCGACUAAACCCGUAUCUGCUUGGAAUACAGACCUCUGAAUAUCUUCAAUGGUGAGUAGCGCAUUAACAGCCCAGCCCCGUGAAUACUCACCUGUGUAUGGAACACUGUACUUACAUUGAGAGCUAGAACCCCUGCACGCUAACAGCUCAGCCCUGUGAAUACUUACCUGUGUAUGGAACACUGUACUUACAUUGAGAGCUAGAACCCCUGUACGCUAACAGCCCAGCCCUGUGAAUACUUACCUGUGUAUUGAACGCUGUACAUACCUGAGAGCUAGAACCUCUGCACAUUGACAGCCCAGCCCUGUGAAUGCUUACCUGUGUAUUGAACGCUGUACUUACCUGAGAGCUAGAACCUCUGCACAUUAACAGCCCAGCCCUGUGAAUAUCCACCUGUGUAUCGAACACUGUACUUCCCUGAGAGCUAGAACCUCUGCACGCCAACAGCCCAGCCCUGUGAAUACUUACCUGUGUAUUGAACGCUGUACUUACCUAAGAGCAAGAACCUCUUCACAUUAACAAGCCCAGCCCUGUGAAUACCCACCUGUGUAUUGAACACUGUACUUACUUGAGAGCUAGAACCCCUGCACGUCAACUGCCUAGCUCUUGCUUUAAACUUACCUGGAGUGGAGUCGGCGGGAAAUUAAGGGCUGAAGUGGAGUGUUGUCGAGGAAGGGCUGAAGAGGAGUGUUCUUGAGACUGGAAUCCGUAUUUGUGGAUAAAGAAUAGUUCGAGUCAUCAUUAGUUUUAAAGUUUCCUUACCCCCUUUCCCCAAACUUUUAAACAAAUAAAAUUGUUACAUUUUAA